UAAAAUGUUGAUCUUCUUUCAGAUAGUGGGGCGGCACAGCAAAACAAUUGUUCAUUUUGUGAUAAAAGCAUGGAAUUUAGCAUACAUGUUCUAAAUUAACUCAUGUUUAUUUUCAGAUAUGGAGUCAUCCUGGAGCUGACCUCUAAUGAGCUGCAGGGGUCAAAAUUUAAAAAU